ensembl:lncRNA
UGGGGAAAAAGGGAAAAAAAAGGGGGAAAAGGAGGGGGGGGGAAAAGGGGGAAGAAAAACGGAAAAUUGGGGAAUAAAAUGGGAAAAAAAGUGGGGAAAAAAUGGGGGAAAAAAGGGAAUAAACGGGAAAAAAAUUUGGGAAUAUUGGAGGAGGGGAAUGGGGUGAGAGCCAGGCUGGAAAAAUUCGGGAUGAGGGUUUUUUUUGGGAUGAGGGCGGCGUCUUGGAGGGUUUGGAAUGAAAAAAGCUCCUUUUUGUGGUAAAAAGCGGAAUUUGUGGGAAUUUCCGCCUGCUGCAAAAUCCCGGGUUUGUUUUUUUUUCCCAGCCCUUUUUUUAAUGUUUUUUUCCCCCCUCUUUUCCUCCACUUCCCGGUCCAGGAUCCCCCAAAUCCAAGGAAUUCCCACCCAAAAUUCCAGCUCAGCCAAAGCACCGUUUAUUCCCAAUAAAAAAAUAAUUAAACAGCAAAAAAAAAAUCCCAAUUUUUCCCGGAAUUCCUGGAAUUCCCGGAGGUUUUCCCAUGGGAAUGCUCAGGUUUGGAAUGUCGGAGCCAAAUCCGUGGAUUUUGAUCCCGGAUUUUUUGGGGUUUUUUUUUUUCUCUCCUCCUCUGGGGGAAUUCCGAGCUCCAAAAAAAAAUCCCAAAUAAAAAUUCCCCCCUUGGAAUUCUCCGUUCCCGGGUUUUUCACGGGAAUUCCUCAAUUCCUGGGGGGUUUUUCCUUCAAAAUUUCCGAUUUCUGGGGCAUUUUCCAUCAGAAUUCCCAAUUCCUGGAGCGUUUUUCCAUCAAAAUUUCCAGUUUCUGGGACAUUUUCCAUCAGAAUUCCCGAUUCCUGGGGGGUUUUCCAAUGGAAUUCCGGAUUUCUGGGACAUUUUCCAUCGGAAUUCCUGAUUUCUAGGACAUUUUUCCAAUAGAAUUCCGGAUUUCUGGGGCAUUUUCCAUCGGAAUUCCCAAUUCCUGGGGGGUUUUCCAUCAGAAUUCCCGAUUCCUGUGGGGUUUUCCAAUGGAAUUCCGGAUUUCUGGGGCAUUUUCCAAUGGAAUUCCCAAUUCCUGGAGU